GAUGAACGCUGGCGGCGUGCCUAAUACAUGCAAGUCGAGCGAACAGACGAGGAGCUUGCUCCUCUGACGUUAGCGGCGGACGGGUGAGUAACACGUGGAUAACCUACCUAUAAGACUGGGAUAAAUUCGGGAAACCGGAGCUAAUACCGGAUAAUAUAUUGAACCGCAUGGUUCAAUAGUGAAAGACGGUUUUGCUGUCACUUAUAGAUGGAUCCGCGCCGCAUUAGCUAGUUGGUAAGGUAACGGCUUACCAAGGCAACGCUGCGUAGCCGACCUGAGAGGGUGUUCGGCCACACUGGAACUGAGACACGGUCCAGACUCCUACGGGAGGCAGCAGUAGGGAAUCUUCCGCAAUGGGCGGAAGCUUGACGGAGCAACGCCGCGUUAGUGAUGAAGGUCUUCGGAUCGUAAAACUCUGUUAUUAGGGAAGAACAAAUGUGUAAGUAACUAUGCACGUCUUGACGGUACCUAAUCAGAAAGCCACGGCUAACUACGUG
rnacentral:rRNA from 1 species